AACGAACGCUGGCGGCAUGCCUAACACAUGCAAGUCGAACGAGACCUUCGGGUCUAGGGGCGCACGGGUGCGUAACGCGUGGGAACCUGCCCUUAGGUUCGGAAUAACUCCCCGAAAGGGGUGCUAAUACCGGAUAAUGUCUUCGGACCAAAGAUUUAUCGCCUUUGGAUGGGCCCGCGUUGGAUUAGCUAGUUGGUAGGGUAAAAGCCUACCAAGGCGACGAUCCAUAGCUGGUCUGAGAGGAUGAUCAGCCACACUGGGACUGAGACAGGGCCCAGACUCCUAGGGGGGGCAGCAGUGGGGAAUAUGGGAAAAGGGGCAAAAGCCUGAACCACCAAGGCCGGGGGAGUGAGGAAGGCCUUAGGGUUGAAAAGCUCUUUUACCCGGGAUGAAAAUGACAGGACCGGGAAAAUAAGCCCCGGAAAACCCCGU
rnacentral:rRNA from 1 species